rnacentral:rRNA from 1 species
UACGUAGGGUGCGAGCGUUGUCCGGAAUUAUUGGGCGUAAAGGGCUCGUAGGCGGUCUGCCACGUCGGGAGUGAAAACUCAGGGCUUAACCCUGAGCCUGCUUCCGAUACGGGCUGACUAGAGGUAUGCAGGGGAGAACGGAAUUCCUGGUGUAGCGGUGAAAUGCGCAGAUAUCAGGAGGAACACCGGUGGCGAAGGCGGUUCUCUGGGCAUUACCUGACGCUGAGACGCGAAAGCGUGGGGAGCGAACAGG